rnacentral:rRNA from 1 species
AUUGAACGCUGGCGGCAUGCUUUACACAUGCAAGUCGAACGGGCUUGGGGGCUUGCUCCCAAGUUAGUGGCGAACGGGUGAGUAAUACAUCGGAACGUACCGUGUAGUGGGGGAUAACGUAGCGAAAGUUACGCUAAUACCGCAUACAAUCUACGGAUGAAAGCAGGGGACCUUCGGGCCUUGUGCUAUACGAGCGGCCGAUGUCUGAUUAGCUAGUUGGUGAGGUAAAGGCUCACCAAGGCGACGAUCAGUAGCGGGUCUGAGAGGAUGAUCCGCCACACUGGGACUGAGACACGGCCCAGACUCCUACGGGAGGCAGCAGUGGGGAAUUUUGGACAAUGGGCGAAAGCCUGAUCCAGCCAUGCCGCGUGUCUGAAGAAGGCC